AGUGAACGCUGGCGGUAGGCCUAACACAUGCAAGUCGAACGGCAGCACAGUAAGAGCUUGCUCUUACGGGUGGCGAGUGGCGGACGGGUGAGGAAUACAUCGGAAUCUACUUUUUCGUGGGGGAUAACGUAGGGAAACUUACGCUAAUACCGCAUACGACCUACGGGUGAAAGCAGGGGAUCUUCGGACCUUGCGCGAUUGAUUGAGCCGAUGUCGGAUUAGCUAGUUGGCGGGGUAAAGGCCCACCAAGGCGACGAUCCGUAGCUGGUCUGAGAGGAUGAUCAGCCACACUGGAACUGAGACACGGUCCAGACUCCUACGGGAGGCAGCAGUGGGGAAUAUUGGACAAUGGGCGCAGGCCUGAUCCAGCCAUACCGCGUGGGUGAAGAAGGCCUUCGGGUUGUAAAGCCCUUUUGUUGGGAAAGAAAAGCAGCAGGUUAAUACCCCGCUGUUCUGACGGUACCCAAAGAAUAAGCACCGGCUAACUUCGUG
rnacentral:rRNA from 1 species